rnacentral:rRNA from 1 species
AACGAACGCUGGCGGCAUGCCUAACACAUGCAAGUCGAACGAGACCUUCGGGUCUAGUGGCGCACGGGUGCGUAACGCGUGGGAAUCUGCCCUUGGGUUCGGAAUAACAGUUAGAAAUGACUGCUAAUACCGGAUAAUGUCCUCGGACCAAAGAUUUAUCGCCCAGGGAUGAGCCCGCGUAGGAUUAGCUAGUUGGUGAGGUAAAGGCUCACCAAGGCGACGAUCCUUAGCUGGUCUGAGAGGAUGAUCAGCCACACUGGGACUGAGACACGGCCCAGACUCCUACGGGAGGCAGCAGUGGGGAAUAUUGGACAAUGGGCGAAAGCCUGAUCCAGCAAUGCCGCGUGAGUGAUGAAGGCCUUAGGGUUGUAAAGCUCUUUUACCCGGGAUGAUAAUGACAGUACCGGGAGAAUAAGCCCCGGCUAACUCCGUGCCAGCAGCCGCGGU